CGAAUAUUCCUCAUUCUAUUUAAUUCAUUCAGUGCAUCAUUAUUACAUGGUUUCUUACCUGAUAAUUUAGUACAAUCUAAUUCCUCAAUACAUAGAUAGCCCUUCCAGAGACUUGACUCGACUUAGAGCCACGUAUGCUUGUCCUUCCUCAAACAAUUUUGAGCCCAAAUAUACUACUGCAUGGUCGACGGUGCUGCCCUGCAUUUUAUGGACGGUGGAUGCCCGUGACAAAACUAAGGGCAACAUCCUUCUUUCAGCCGUACCAUAAUUGAAUUUUGCUGGAAACUGUAUGGCUUUAGGGUAAAUAGCGUGCAUGCCGUUACAUUGCACGCCGGCAAAUCCCGAAGUGAAAACGCUGUGGUCACCUUGAUGCCAUGAAGCCCGAAUAAUUCUAGCAACGUCAUUAAUACUAAUGAAUACAUUUGGAAUUUCAAUUCUUUCAGGUUCACCGUUUUCAGGUAUAUCUGGCACACUAAGUCGUAUUAAGUCUUGUUCACUAAUCUGGACAUUUUCGUCAAUGCGUACAUCUCUAUAAAGUGGGUUAUUUCUAGUUAACCAUCUUAAAGCGCUGUAGAAUUUUUCGCGAGAUAUUGUGAACUCUCUUGUGAUGUUCAAAUUCUCCAAACGUUCUGUAACUACAACGAUACCCACCUGGCUGGAAGAUCUUGGAAGCAUAUUAGAUCAAUCUGACAACGGGAAGGUGCUUAAAUUUCAAUUUCUAAUUUUGACCCAAAUAAAUAAAAAACAAAUUCCG